rnacentral:lncRNA from 1 species
UUAUUUUUAGGUCUUUCCACCUUUCCGUGGAAAGACCUAUUGGAUUUCUUCUUCUGAUUAUUAGGUCUUUCCACUUUUCCGUGGAAAGACCUAUUGGAUUUCUUCUGAUUCUUUUUUUUUCUUCCGCCUAAUUUUUUUUCUUCGCUGUUUUUUUUGUUUCACAAGAUGUCGCUUAGAUUUUUGGAAUAUGAUAUCGAACAGUUUAUACGCUUUUGAAACCAACUCUGCUUAACUGAAUACUUUCUCAAAUAAGAGUUAUCUCCCCAAACACUGUUUUCCUUGUUAUCUUUAAGGCUUCGCAACCAUAUAAGAAACCGACAAAUUAAUUUUUCUAAAUUGCUCGUUAUAUCCUCAGGAUGUUCUGGUUUAUUUUGACCGAAGCCAUAUAUAGAUUCCAUAUGAGAGUUAUCCCCCCCUUUUAUGUUUGAUAUAAGAAUAUGCAUUUCUAACUGGUAAACCAUAAGUGAUAGAGACCUAGGGUCUUUUGAUUUGAGAUCAUUGGUCCAAAAAAAAAAAUGAAAAUAAGGUCAAGGUCAAAGGUCAAGGUCAUAUUAUAAAUUUUGAUUUUGGCUUAUUUUCACUUAUUUUCAAAAGCCGUAUAACUUAUCGACAAAUUAUUUUUACUAAAUUG